rnacentral:rRNA from 1 species
UAGGGAAUAUUGGGCAAUGGAGGGAACUCUGACCCAGCCAUGCCGCGUGCAGGAUGAAGGCGUUAUGCGUUGUAAACUGCUUUUUAUAUAGGAAGAAAUAGUCCUUGCGAGGAAAGUUGACGGUACUAUAUGAAUAAGCACCGGCUAACUCCGUGCCAGCAGCCGCGGUAAUACGGAGGGUGCAAGCGUUGUCCGGAUUUAUUGGGUUUAAAGGGUGCGUAGGCGGUUUAUUAAGUCAGUGGUGAAAGACGGUCGCUCAACGAUUGCAGUGCCAUUGAUACUGGUAGACUUGAGUAUGAUUGAGGUAGCUGGAAUGGAUAGUGUAGCGGUGAAAUGCAUAGAUAUUAUCCAGAACACCAAUUGCGUAGGCAAGUUACUAAGUCAUAACUGACGCUGAGGCACGAAAGUGUGGGUAUCGAAACAGGAUUAGAUACCCAGGUAGUCCCUGAGCGGGCUGGGCAAGGCGCAU